rnacentral:rRNA from 1 species
GAGUUUGAUCCUGGCUCAGGAUGAACGCUAGCGGCAGGCUUAACACAUGCAAGUCGAGGGGUAACAGGAAGAAGCUUGCUUUUUCGCUGACGACCGGCGGACGGGUGCGUAACGCGUAUGCAACCUACCUCUUACUGGGGAAUAGCCCGGAGAAAUCCGGAUUAAUGCCCCAUAGUAUUACAUCUUCGCAUGUUGAUGUAAUUAAAGGUUACGGUAAGAGAUGGGCAUGCGUCCCAUUAGCUAGAUGGUAAGGUAACGGCUUACCAUGGCAACGAUGGGUAGGGGGCCUGAGAGGGUGAUCCCCCACACUGGUACUGAGACACGGACCAGACUCCUACGGGGGGCAGCAGUGAGGAAUAUUGGACAAUGGACGCAAGUCUGAUCCAGCCAUGCCGCGUGCAGGAAGAAUGCCCUAUGGGUUGUAAACUGCUUUUAUUUGGGAAUAAACCCCUCUACGUGUAGAGGGCUGAAGGUACCAAACGAAUAAGCACCGGCUAACUCCGUGCCAGCAGCCGCGGUAAUACGGAGGGUGCAAGCGUUAUCCGGAAUCAUUGGGUUUAAAGGGUCCGCAGGCGGACGUAUAAGUCAGUGGUGAAAGCCUACAGCUUAACUGUAGAACUGCCAUUGAUACUGUACGUCUUGAAUUCGGUCGAAGUGGGCGGAAUGUGUCAUGUAGCGGUGAAAU